AGCGAACGCUGGCGGCAGGCUUAACACAUGCAAGUCGAACGCCAUCUUCGGAUGGAGUGGCAGACGGGUGAGUAACGCGUGGAAACAUACCUUUUGCUUCGGAAUAUUCCCGGGAAACUGGGAGCAAUACCGAAUACGCCCUGAGGGGGAAAGAUUUAUCGGCAAAAGAUUGGUCCGCGUUAGAUUAGGUAGUUGGUAGGGUAAUGGCCUACCAAGCCUACGAUCUAUAGCUGGUUUGAGAGGAUGAUCAGCCACAUUGGGACGGAGACACGGCCCAAACUCUUACGGGAGGCAGCAGUGGGGAAUAUUGGACAAUGGGUGAAAGUCUGAUCCAGCCAUGCCGCGUGAAUGAUGAAGGCCUUAGGGUUGUAAAAUUCUUUCACCGGGGACGAUAAUGACGGUACCCGGAGAAGAAGCCCCGGCUAACUUCGUGCCAGCAGCCGCCGUAA
rnacentral:rRNA from 1 species